UACGAAGGGUGCAAACGUUGCUCGGAAUCAUUGGGCGUAAAGCGCACGUAGGCGGCCUCAUAAGUCGGAUGUGAAAUCCCUCGGCUCAACCGAGGAAGUGCAUCCGAAACUGCGAGGCUCGAGUAUGGAAGAGGGUCGCAGAAUUCCCGGUGUAGAGGUGAAAUUCGUAGAUAUUGGGAAGAACACCGAUGGCGAAGGCAGCCAUCUGGACCGACACUGACGCUGAGGCGCGAAAGCGUGGGGAGCAAACAGG
rnacentral:rRNA from 1 species